CAUGCCCCUUAUACGCUGGGCUACACACGUGCUACAAUGGGUAGUACAGAGAGUCGCAAAGCCGCGAGGUGGAGCUAAUCUCAGAAAACUAUUCUUAGUUCGGAUUGUACUCUGCAACUCGAGUACAUGAAGUUGGAAUCGCUAGUAAUCGCGAAUCAGCAAUGUCGCGGUGAAUACGUUCUCGGGUCUUGUACACACCGCCCGUCACACCACGAGAGUUGGUUGCACCUGAAGUAGCAGGCCUAACCGUAAGGAGGGAUGCUCCGAGGGUGUGAUUAGCGAUUGGGGUGAAGUCGUAACAAGGUAUCCGUACGGGAACGUGCGGAUGGAUCACCUCCUUUCUAAGGAGUAUAAGUCUUUCUCUAUUCUAUUGGUAAUGUUCUUACAUUACUUCUGAACAUUGGAAACUAUAUAGUAGAACAAACAAGAAAAAAAUUAACUCUAACAAUUUCUUAGAGUUAGCUGUCAAAAAAUAGAUUAAAAUAAUUAAGGGCACACAAAGGAUGCCUAGGUAGUAAGAGCCGAUGAAGGACGUGGUAAGCUGCGAUAAGCCUAG
rnacentral:sRNA from 1 species